rnacentral:rRNA from 1 species
AGUGAACGCUGGCGGUAGGCCUAACACAUGCAAGUCGAACGGCAGCACAGUAAGAGCUUGCUCUUACGGGUGGCGAGUGGCGGACGGGUGAGGAAUACAUCGGAAUCUACUUUUUCGUGGGGGAUAACGUAGGGAAACUUACGCUAAUACCGCAUACGACCUACGGGUGAAAGCAGGGGAUCUUCGGACCUUGCGCGAUUGAAUGAGCCGAUGUCGGAUUAGCUAGUUGGCGGGGUAAAGGCCCACCAAGGCGACGAUCCGUAGCUGGUCUGAGAGGAUGAUAAGCCACACUGGAACUGGGACACGGUCCAGGCUCCUACGGGAGGCAGCAGUGGGGAAUAUUGGACAAUGGGCGCAAGCCUGAUCCAGCCAUACCGCGUGGGUGAAGAAGGCCUUCGGGUUGUAAAGCCCUUUUGUUGGGAAAGAAAAGCAGCAGGUUAAUACCCCGCUGUUCUGACGGUACCCAACGAAUAAGCACCGGCUAACUUCGUG